rnacentral:rRNA from 1 species
CGCCUUGCCAGCCCGCUCAGAAACUCAAAGGAAUUGACGGGGGCCCGCACAAGCGGCGGAGCAUGUGGAUUAAUUCGAUGCAACGCGAAGAACCUUACCUGGGUUUGACAUACACCGGAAAACCGUAGAGAUACGGUCCCCCUUGUGGUCGGUGUACAGGUGGUGCAUGGCUGUCGUCAGCUCGUGUCGUGAGAUGUUGGGUUAAGUCCCGCAACCGAGCGCAACCCUUGUCUUAUGUUGCCAGCACGUGAUGGUGGGGACUCGUAAGAGACUGCCGGGGUCAACUCGGAGGAAGGUGGGGACGACGUCAAGUCAUCAUGCCCCUUAUGUCCAGGGCUUCACACAUGCUACAAUGGCCAGUACAGAGGGCUGCGAGACCGUGAGGUGGAGCGAAUCCCUUAAAGCUGGUCUCAGUUCGGAUCGGGGUCUGCAACUCGACCCCGUGAAGUCGGAGUCGCUAGUAAUCGCAGAUCAGCAACGCUGCGGUGAAUACGUUCCCGGGCCUU